rnacentral:tRNA from 1 species
GGAUUGUGGCUCAGUGGCAGAGUGCUUGCCCAGCAUGUAUGAGGUACUGGGUUUGAUCCUUAGCACCG